CAAUAGCGUAUAUUAAAGUUGUUGCAGUUAAAAAGCUCGUAGUUGAAUUUCUGGCGGGCGCGCCGGUCUUCCAAGUGUUGUACUGGGCGCAGUCCGCCAUCCUUGUGGAGAGGGCUCGCAUUGAGUUGCGUGUCGGAUCUGCAUGAUUUACUGUGAAAAAAUUAGAGUGUUUAGAGCAGGCUGUCGCUUGAAUACAUUAGCAUGGAAUAAUAAGAUAGGACUUCGGUCUAUUUUGUUGGUUGCGAACCGAGGUAAUGAUUAAUAGGGAUAGUUGGGGGUAUUCAUAUUUAAUUGUCAGAGGUGAAAUUCUUGGAUUUAUGAAAGAUGAACAACUGCGAAAGCAUUUACCAAGGAUGUUUUCAUUA
rnacentral:rRNA from 1 species